rnacentral:rRNA from 1 species
UGAAUGGAGGACCGAACCGACUUACGUUGAAAAGUGAGCGGAUGAACUGAGGGUAGCGGAGAAAUUCCAAUCGAACCUGGAGAUAGCUGGUUCUCUCCGAAAUAGCUUUAGGGCUAGCCUCAAGUGAUGAUUAUUGGAGGUAGAGCACUGUUUGGACGAGGGGCCCCUCUCGGGUUACCGAAUUCAGACAAACUCCGAAUGCCAAUUAAUUUAACUUGGGAGUCAGAACAUGGGUGAUAAGGUCCGUGUUCGAAAGGGAAACAGCCCAGACCACCAGCUAAGGUCCCAAAAUAUAUGUUAAGUGGAAAAGGAUGUGGCGUUGCCCAGACAACUAGGAUGUUGGCUUAGAAGCAGCCAUCAUUUAAAGAGUGCGUAAUAGCUCACUAGUCGAGUGACACUGCGCCGAAAAUGUACCGGGGCUAAACAUAUUACCGAAGCUGUGGAUUGUCCUUUGGACAAUGGUAGGAGAGCGUUCUAAGGGCGUUGAAGCAUGAUCGUAAGGACAUGUGGAGCGCUUAGAAGUGAGAAUGCCGGUGUGAGUAGCGAAAGACGGGUGAGAAUCCCGUCCACCGAUUGACUAAGGUUUCCAGAGGAAGGCUCGUCCGCUCUGGGUUAGUCGGGUCCUAAGCUGAGGCCGACAGGCGUAGGCGAUGGAUAACAGGUUGAUAUUCCUGU